rnacentral:lncRNA from 1 species
UUCGAUUUUUCGACAACCUCAGCCGGCCUCCCGGACGGAUGUGAGGAUUCCGACUUCAUCAGUUCUCGGAAUUUGGGCUUCGACGUUAUCAAAUGCAGUUCGAUCAAGUGUAGUAAUGAAGAACAAACGGAGAAAUGAAGAACAGAUGGAGAAGAAGACGGAGACCGUUAGUCAACGUCAAGACACAAAGGGAAUUGGAGCUUAAAUGAAACGAUGCGUUUUGUAUUCCGUUUAUCUUCAAUAUGGCUGUAUUAAAACGGGACACGUGUUUACCCGCGUUUUACCUUUCAGUUUUUACUGUUUUUGGUUACCGUUGAGUUUACUAUAUAAACUCAACCAAACUCAGUGAAUCGGUUAAUGGUUUUCAGACCUUUCAUCCAUAUCCAUUUCUUCUCUGCAUUUCUUCCUUCUUCUUCUUCCUUCUCUGCUCUCUCAUCGUUCCUCCGAUCAUUCUGAUAGAGUAUCAGAGCUAUCCUUACUACUUAAAUCCUAAUGAGAAUCUAUCACAAUCUAUAGUCAAUACUGUACUGGAUGGUUCAAAUUAUCAAAUGUGGAGCAGAUCUGUGAGAUUUGCGUUGAAAACUAAACACAAGGUUGGUUUUAUUGAUGGAUCUAUAGUUCCUCCUCCUCCUGCUAGUGAUAGAUAUCCUCUAUGGGAUGCUUGCAACACUAUGGUACUCUGCUGGAUCUCAAACUCACUGCAUCCAGAGAUACGUAGAAGCAUAUUGAAUCAUGAAAAUGCUCAAAUACUGUGGCAAGAGUUGAAACGUAGAUUUGGUCAGGCGAAUGCAUUGAAAAUGGCUAAUCUACAAGAUGAAAUUCAUGGUUGCAAGCAGGCUCAAAUGUCAGUUACACAGUAUUACACAGUCAUUAAAGGACUCUGGGAGGAAUAUAGUCAGUUCUCUCCUAUUGUUCCUUGUAGUUGUGCACCAGCCAGUGUACUUCCUUGUGCAGCAGUAGUGGCUUUUCAGGAGAAGCAAGACACGGAUUAUCUGAUCCGUUUUCUUAGAGGCUUGAAUGAGGACUUUGAUGUAGUAAGAACUCAGCUGUUAAUGAUGACACCCUUGCCAUCGAUCAGUUCAGCUUAUGAUACAGCAUUACAGCAUGAAGAAAAGAUAAAAGGUGGCAUGAUGAUAGGAAAGGAUAAUUCAGCUCAAAAUGUAGCAUUUGCUGUACCAUCGGAAGUUGAUGGAAAGUAUGCUAUGGCUGCAAGUACUGGAAAUUCAAGAGAUUACACUUCAGCUGGAAAGAAAUUUUGUAGAUAUUGUAAGAAGGAAGGCCACAUACUCGAUGAAUGUAGAAGGUUGAAAUGGAAGAAGCAGCAGGAACAGAAUGCUCAAAACUCUAGUCCAGUUCCACAAAGUCAUUUUGCUGGAGCAGUGGAUCAGCAACAAGUCCCUACAGUAGCUGCUGCUCUUUCUCUAACCAAUGCUGAAUUGACUCAGUUGAAGCAGCUCUUACAAGCAGUCCAGCAGUCUAAAUCCACAGUCUCAGGAUCAGGAAUUCCAAAUCUUCCAAACGAUUCAGGUAAGUUUACUUUGUCUGCUGGAUCAUGUCCUGAUUUAGCUAACUUGUGGAUUCUAGAUACUGGAGCUUCUGACCAUAUAACCUGUUCCAUUAAACACUUUCUGUCCUAUAAGUCUGUCAUAGGAGUCAACGUUUACCUUCCUGAUUCUUCUCCCAUGUCUAUCAGCCAUGUUGGCACUGUCCAACUUCCUCAUGGUCUUAUCAUUCAUAACGUUUUAUGCGUUCCCAAAUUUCACUUCAAUCUGAUCUCUGUGAGUAAGCUAACUUCUCAUCUUCCUGUUUCCCUGAUCUUCCAAUCCAACAAAUGCCAGCUACAAGACCUCACCACAGGCAGGAUGAUUGGUUUAGCCAUUCAGACUAGAGGGCUAUACCACCUCCAACCUCCUGAUAAACAGUUUUCACCACAGUCUUCUCAAUCCAUACCACACAAAUCUCAAGUAGCAGUUAGUCACAAUUACCAACCAGAAGAAAUCAGCCUCUGGCAUUGGAGAAUGGGGCAUCCCAGUUCUGAAAAACUGAAGAUUCUACACAAUCAUAAUCAUUAAUCAUAAUCAUAGCAUAGUCCCUGAAAACUUGACACAUUGCUCGAUCUGUCACUAUUCCAAACACAAACGUCUUCCUUUUCAUAGCAGUCAGACCACUGUCACUGCAGUUUUCGAUCUAAUACAUGUUGAUAUUUGGGGUCCUUUGUCCACUGAAUCACAUGAUAGAUUUCUGUAUUUUCUCACUAUUGUUGAUGACUAUUCUAGAGGGGUUUGGGUUUAUUUGAUGAAGUAUAAGUCAGAGGCAAGACCCUUAUUGCAAUCUUUCUGUAAUAUGGUCUGCACUCAGUUUAAAACCAAAGUUAAAAUGAUAAGAAGUGACCAAGGAAAAGAGUUCCACAUGACUGAUUUUUACUCAGAACAUGGAAUUAUUCAUCAAAUGUCAUGUGUUCAAACUCCUUAACAAAAUUCCAAAGUUGAACGCAAGCAUCAACACAUUCUAAAUGUAGCGAGAGCCUUACAGUUUCAAUCUGGACUACCUCUAGUCUAUUGGAGUGAUUUUGUUCUUCAUUCCGUUUAUCUCAUAAAUAGGACUCCUUCUUCUGCCAUUCAAAACAAAACUCCUUUUGAGAUACUGUAUAAUCAUCCACCAAAUCUUAAUCAUGUCAGGGUCUUUGGCUGUUUAGCAUAUGCAGCAACUCUAUCUCACAAUCGAGGUAAGUUUCAUCCUCGUGCUAGGCAAAGUGUGCUUAUCGGUAUUCCUGCUAACAUAAAAGGAUAUAAAUUGCUUGAUCUAGCAUCCACUGAAGUCUAUGUUUCCAGGGAUGUAGUCUUUUAUGAGAACAUCUUUCCUUUUAAGUCCAAUUCUGUUUCUUCUACUUCCCCUCUUGAGUCAGAAAUUCUAGAUCCUACUGCAGUGAACAUAGAGGUUCCAGUAACUCCUCCUAUCCAACCGGGUUCCAGUAGCUCCACCUAUACAACCAUCUAAUCCACAUAGCCCUAGCUCUUCCCAAAAUUCAGUGUCAGUAGCUCCAGGAACUGAUCCACCUGUUACUAAUCACUCAUCCCAGUUGCAGGGUUCACUUUCUGAUAGUGAGGAUGAUAUGGAACUUUCGGAUCCUGAGAUUCAUCCAGCAGGGGAGGGACAGCAGCCUGAUCUGCUGGAUGUCAGGACCUCUACUAGGACAAGACGUCCACCUAUACACUUACAAGACUAUCACUUGGAUGCCAGUGUUACCAAACACUCUCUUGCAUCAGUGCUGUCAUAUGAUAGUCUUUCUGAUCAUUUUAAGCGUUUUGCGUUGAAUGUUAUUGUACAGCAGGAACCAAAGAAUUACAAAGAAGCAAUGAAGGAUCCUCACUGGAAUGUAGCAGUUCAAAAUGAACUUGGUGCCCUUAAUGAGAACCACACUUGGGAUGUUGUACCAGACUCGGAUAAAUUUCAUAAACUGGGAACAAAGUGGGUGUUCAAACUUAAAUUGAAGUCUGAUGGAAGUGUGGAGCGACACAAGGCAAGGCUAGUGGCACAGGGUUUUGACCAAAUACAGGGUGUUGAUUUUGUAGACACAUUCUCACCAGUGGCCAAAAUCAAUACAGUGAAAGCUUUAUUAGCAAUAGCAGCAGCUCAGGAUUUGUUUCUGGAACAAAUGGAUGUGUCUAAUGCUUUUCUGCAUGGAGAUCUAAAUGAAGAAGUCUACUUAAGGAUUCCAGCUGGGUUGGAUGCACCACCAGGUACAUGCCUGAAGCUUAGAAAGUCUCUUUAUGGUCUAAAGCAAGCUAGCAGACAGUGGUUUGCUAAGCUCACAAAUGCAUUACUGAGGUAUGGAUUUCAACAUACUAGUUCAGACUAUUCGUUAUUUGUUAAAGAUUCUGGACGAUCACAAGUCAUACUGUUGGUCUAUGUGGAUGAUAUAAUAUUAGCUGGAAAGGAUAUUGAUUUGAUUAAGACGGUAAAAUGCUAUUUGCAUCAGCAAUUCAAAAUUAAAGAUUUGGGGGAGUUGAAGUAUUUUCUGGGACUUGAGAUUGCUAGAUCAAGACAUGGAAUAGUGAUGAAUCAAAGGAAGUAUUGUGUAGAAUUGUUAACAGAUACAGGUUUCUUAGAAGCCAAAGGGAGUAAGAGUCCUAUGGAUGUUAAUUUGAGAUUGAGUGCAGAACAAGGAGAAUCAAUGGAGGAUCCAUCUACAUAUAGGACACUGGUUGGAAGGUUACACUAUCUAACAAUUACAAGACCAGAUAUUACAUUCGCUGUGCAACAGCUCAGUCAAUUCCAAAAUCAACCAUGUAAAGCACAUUUGGAGGCAGCUCAUCGAGUGUUAAGGUACUUGAAGUCUUCACCAGCACAAGGUUUAAUAUAUAAGUCUUCAAACAACUUGUGCUUAACCGGAUACUGUGACUCAGACUGGGCAGCGUGUCCAGACACCAGGAAAUCAAUUUCUGGUUACUGCACAUAUCUAGGUAACUCAUUGAUUACUUGGAGAUCCAAGAAACAAGGUACUGUAUCGAGAUCAUCUUCAGAAGCAGAAUACAGGGCAAUAGCACACUUGGUGUGUGAGCUGCAAUGGAUGUCAGAAUUGGUUAAGGAAUUGGGGAUUCAAGUGCCUAUGCCUAUGGAAGUUCAUUGUGAUAACAAGUCUGCAAUACAUAUAGCAGAAAAUCCUGUGUUCCAUGAGCGAACCAAACAUAUUGAGAUUGAUUGUCAUGUUACACGAGAAAGAAUCAAGUCUGGGAUGAUAGUGCUGAAACAUAUUGGGACAAAUGAUCAGCCUGCAGAUCUUUUUACUAAGGCACUUCAUCGAACUCGCUUGCAGCAGUUAUUGAGCAAGUUGGGAGUACAUGAUAUAUACUCUCCAACUUGUGGGAGGGUAUCAAAUGCAGUUCGAUCAAGUGUAGUGAUGAAGAACAAACGGAGAAAUGAAGAACAGAUGGAGAAGAAGACGGAGACCGUUAGUCAACGUCAAGACACAAAGGGAAUUGGAGCUUAAAUGAAACGAUGCGUUUUGUAUUCCGUUUAUCUUCAAUAUGGUUGUAUUAAAACGGGACACGUGUUUACCCGCGUUUUACCUUUCAGUUUUUACUGUUUUUGGUUACCGUUGAGUUUACUAUAUAAACUCAACCAAACUCAGUGAAUCGGUUACAGACCUUUCAUCCAUAUCCAUUUCUUCUCUGCAUUUCUUCCUUCUUCUUCUUCCUUCUCUGCUCUCUCAUCGUUCCUCCGAUCAUUCUGAUAGACGUCAUCGUCAACUUCCUCAAGGCGACGUUCAUGCUACAGAACCAGUUCGAAGACCUAAUCGCAAAAACACGACCCGACUGCAUCAUCUCCGACGCCUUCUUUCCCUGGACCACCGCUUCCGCCGCGAAGUUCGGCAUCCCACGGCUCGUCUUCCGAGGUACCAGCUUCUUCUCCUCAUGCGUUUCGGAAUUCAUCACGAU